rnacentral:lncRNA from 1 species
AUGCUAACUGCUGUCUUCCUUUCCAUAUUGAGUGUCCACCAGCUCAGCCCACUUAUCACAGGUAUAGACAAGGCAGCUGAGGAGAUUGUGGGGAAGGAAUGCAGCUUUGGCUCCAGGAGGUGUGGUAAGGAAAAGACUUUAACAUGGCAUAAAGGGGAGGAGGCUGUCUACAGUAUUUUCCUAUUUUAUAUAGAGAUAAUACAGCCAAAAACUCACUCUGAGCAUUUUGGUGUUUGCCUCACCAAGAGAUAUUUUCCAUCCUACAGCCUAAGUCUUUUGACUGAUUGCAUUUGUGAUCUCUCAAGCAUUUCAUCCUAGCUGUUGGAGGAAUGAGACCUAGCCAUUUUUAGUAUGAGUCCCACUUGAAAAGGGCAGAAUGGCCCUGAAGGGCCAGGGAAUUGGAACAAAAAUGAGGACCUAUGCUCCUUAGAGACAGAGAAAGUGCCAAAGAAAUCUCUUUGCAGUAAGGCAAGUACCAAGAUCUUUGGUAGAGAUGCAGCUGAGGCAGAGCAUACUUUCCCUUACUUUGUGACUGUGUCUCCAGGAUGGGGAACAGGGACUUCCAGGGUGGACCAGACAGUGCUGACCACAGGACAACUGGAGAGGACAGCUGCAAUCUGUUUAAUCUUUCUCCAUUUUCUUCUGCCUUCCAG